UGGGGAAUUGUUCGCAAUGGGCGCAAGCCUGACGACGCAACGCCGCGUGGAGGACGAAGAUUUUCGGAUCGUAAACUCCUUUCGAUCGGGAAGAACAGCUUUUGGGUUAAUAGCCUGAGAGUCUGACGGUACCGAGAGAAGAAGCCCCGGCUAACUCUGUGCCAGCAGCCGCGGUAAUACAGGGGGGGCAAGCGUUGUUCGGAAUUACUGGGCGUAAAGGGCUCGUAGGCGGCCAACUAAGUCCGACGUGAAAUCCCAAAGCUUAACUUUGGAACUGCGUCGGAUACUGGAUGGCUUGAAUUCGGGAGAGGGAUGCAGAAUUCCAGGUGUAGCGGUGAAAUGCGUAGAUAUCUGGAGGAAUACCGGUGGCGAAGGCGGCAUCCUGGACCGACAUUGACGCUGAGGAGCGAAAGCUAGGGGAGCAAA
rnacentral:rRNA from 1 species